rnacentral:other from 1 species
GACUCCCCGGGCCAACAGCCCGGGCCUCAUUGAAGC